CGGUUCCGAACACUCCGGUUCCGAAUGCGUCGUCCACGCCCACCUGACGACUGCUUGCUACGUUCUGUUAGCC
rnacentral:sRNA from 1 species